rnacentral:rRNA from 1 species
AAAGGGUGCGUAGGCGGCCUGUUAAGUCAGGGGUGAAAGACGGUAGCUCAACUAUCGCAGUGCCCUUGAUACUGAUGGGCUUGAAUGAACUAGAGGUAGGCGGAAUGAGACAAGUAGCGGUGAAAUGCAUAGAUAUGUCUCAGAACACCGAUUGCGAAGGCAGCUUACUAUGGUUCUAUUGACGCUGAGGCACGAAAGCGUGGGGAUCAAACAGGAUUAGAUACCCUAGU